rnacentral:rRNA from 1 species
GGGCCCGCACAAGCAGUGGAGUAUGUGGUUUAAUUCGAAGCAACGCGAAGAAUCUUACCAGGGUUUGACAUGUUACUGAAGUUAGUAGAGAUAUUAACGUCCUUCGGGACAGUAAUGCAGGUGGUGCAUGGUUGUCGUCAGCUCGUGUCGUGAGAUGUUGGGUUAAGUCCCGCAACGAGCGCAACCCUUAUUGUUAGUUGCCAUCAAGUAAUGUUGGGCACUCUAGCGAGACUGCCGGCGAAAAGUCGGAGGAAGGUGGGGACGACGUCAAAUCAUCAUGCCCCUUAUAUCCUGGGCUACACACGUACUACAAUGGCCGUUACAGAGGGAAGCGAAACGGUAACGUGGAGCAAAUCCUCAAAGGCGGUCCCAGUUCGGAUUGUGGGCUGAAACUCGCCCACAUGAAGUCGGAAUUGCUAGUAAUGGUAGGUCAGCAUACUACCGUGAAUACGUUCCCGGGCCUU